GGGUUGUGAGGUUAAGCGACUAAGCGUACACGGUGGAUGCCCUGGCAGUCWGAGGCGAUGAAGGGCGUGCUAAUCUGCGAUAAGCGCCGGUAAGG
rnacentral:rRNA from 1 species